CUGAGCUAGCUCCAUGAACUCAACCCAGCCGGGGAACAUUUAAACUCUUACACGCCCACCACGCUUAUCGAGAUGUCCGGCUCACUAGUUACGGUAGGUGCUACUGAAUAAAAAUGACCAUGCGUGGCAGCGAACGUAAGAAGACAUGAAAAGAAGUUCCCCGCACGUACGUUACGUCAGUGUAGCUUGGCGCUCACACGGGGCUAACAGCAACUAGCAUCAUUCCGCCUCGCCGUCCGUCGGAUCAACAACAAGGAGCCGCACCGCCUUACCGUUUAUGUUGGUCGCCGUCGACUCAUCCGUGGGUGGCUCGACGUGAAACCGUUAUUCGUUCGUCCCCCCCCCCCCACCACCCACCCGUCCCCGCUUCCAAAAAGGGGGGGAAAAAGCUCGGACGUUAACCGUAGCCUACGGCAGAGUGACGUUCAUCGCCGCCUUUUGAAAACAUCGCAGCCAGUUCGUUCGUCCUCCUCCUCCUCUCCACAGCCGAGAAAAGACCAGCAUAAACACGACAGCGGCCAGGCUGAUUGGUCCGUGGGAAACACGUGAACCUGUCUGGGCCCUCUGAUUGGCCCGCGGUAGCCCAUCAGACCCAGAACCCAGUUUUACAUCGAUCUUAUAAAGAUCCUCCAGCCGGAGCUCGGAGGAGUCUGGCCCCCGUCCUUGGUGCUGGUGGUUGAGAUGGAUUUGUAUUUGCCACUGAAGCAAACAGGUGCUCUCCUGCCCUUCCUUCCUUCCUUACCCAGCUUGUUCUUGAUGGCCUCCAGAAUGCUGUCCGAGUUGCACAGCAUGCACGGCGUGGUGGUGCAGAUCUGGAUUAAGUACUUGCCCACAGGCUGGCGCUGGAACAUGGUGUAGAAGGUGGCCACCUCGUACACUCUCAUGGGCGGGAUCUCCAGCACUUCAGCCACCUGAAGGACAACAACGUGUUCAAUCAAGCUUCUGUAUUUUUCUCUCUCAUGCCCCGUCGAGGUGAAACUCGCCUUGUUCAUGACGGUGACAGGGAGCCAUCCGUGUUGUCUCUGGGCUAAAUCCAACACAGGGAUGGUGGCUGCUUGCUUGUGGCCAACAGGGUACAUGGAAAUUAUGGCUUCAAUUCUCUAUGGACAAAAUAAAACAUGUCUGAGGAUGACACCGCAAAGAAAAAAAAAAUCAUGAAACAACCAACAAAUUGAGCAGUUACCUAAGAAACAAUUACAGUUAACUAGUAUGGGUGAACAAAAUGUUUUCGUUGUAUGAAUCGCAGUAAGUGGAUACGUUAAUUAGAUCUGCCAUCUAAUGGAAGUGCAUUUCAUUGUUCUCCCUGUCAUUAUACGUUGUUGGCAUAGGUAGAUGAAGAAAGAUACAUUGUUGUAGUAAAUGAAUAUUAAUUGUCCAACCAAUUUAACUAAUUGGACCAUCUGUUGAUCUCUCACGCCACAAUAUGCCAAAGCAAGGUGGUCAGGAAUCACUGGCACAUGACACUGCGUAAACCAACACAGUGCAGCUCAGCCUCGGGCUAGCAGAUGUUGUCUAUUGUAGACUUUACACUGAUCUGAUCGGUUUGAUCGGUAUCGGCCGAUAAUUAGCAUUUUAUGUUGAUCGGUUUUAACGUCAUAAUUCGCCGAUCCGAUCAAUGACGUCAUUGAUAGGCUCCGCAAAAGAUAUUUACUCCACGUCGCCAUCGUGUACAGUAUAUUUGAAUCCAAAAGCUAUUUUAUUUUUAGCCUAUUUUUUUUUUUGACGCAGUACUGUAAAUAGUUGAAAUGAAGUUGUUUAUAAAUUUUUUUUAUUUAUUUUUUUAAACAUGUCAGAGGUGUGUAACAGACAACAUGUCUGAGACAGACAACACGUAAUGCGUGGAUCAGACUACAAGACAAAUUUGGUCUUUCACGAUUGCACUAUGUCAGACUACUGCAAUAAAAUCUUGUAUUCCGAUACCACCGCAUCCCGUCUUUUACGAUCACUGGGGUUUAUCUUGCCAACUCAAACGCGACCGGAUACACUCGUUACCAUUGUGACGACAACAAUGGAUCGCGUCGUGUGUAUAAAAACACACAAAACGGGGGAAAACGUGUGCUGGUGGUCACCGGUGCUUGGGAGAGGACUUUAAUUCAAGGAUUGCUUGAGGUAUGUUCACGUAGUUUUAAUACGAUACGACUUGCAAGCAGGCAACAAAACGUUAGCGCUAGCACUGGUUUGCUAGCCUACAUAACGGUUGUACGUAAACGUUAUGUCGAAUCAUACUCUAAAAUUUCGGUGUGUGUGAAGUAAUUACAAUAAAGUAAUUUAAUAAAAGUAAGUUAGCACCCAU